rnacentral:rRNA from 1 species
UACGUAGGGUGCAAGCGUUGUCCGGAAUUAUUGGGCGUAAAGAGCUCGUAGGCGGUCUGUCGCGUCUGCUGUGAAAACUCAGGGCUUAACCCUGAGCUUGCAGUGGGUACGGGCAGACUAGAGUACGGUAGGGGAGACUGGAAUUCCUGGUGUAGCGGUGAAAUGCGCAGAUAGUCAGGAGGAACACCGGUGGCGAAGGCGGGUCUCUGGGCCGUAACUGGACGCUGAGGAGCGAAAGCAUGGGGAGCGAACAGGAUUAGACUACCCCGAGUAAGUC